AUGACGAUUGCAAGCCAUGAAUUGGUUUCCGUUCUCUAUCCCUUUCAUCUGAGAAGAGCAGCUUGUUGUAUAAAAAACACGCCAUGUCCCUCAGUGUUUCUGUGACACCCAGCUACAACAGCUUCUGAACUUCUCCCAACAUUCACUUGCCACACAGUCAUUUGACCUCAUGCAAGAGAAGUGGAAGCCUGUUGGGAGAGCGGGAUGGUGCAGACCCAUGCCUUUCAGGAGCCACUCACAGCUACAGCAGGCUUCACACUUUUCCUGGGGCCUCUGGGCUCCUGUCCAGGCCAAGAUACUUCACAAUUGACUUUGAUUUUCUGAGGAUGGGAAGGGUACAGAUCAGGCAGAAAAAAUCUGAAUCUGGAAAAGCUGCAUUCAGAUGGAUCAUGGUGCUCAUGGAAUACUAUAUAUGAUGUAUUGCAUUAACUAUAAUACUAAUAUGGCUCGACUGUAGAGUUAUUCCAUGACAUUACAGACUCUUCUCAGAUUGAGACAUUGAGAAAUAUGCAUGCCGAAAUUACCGCUCUACUGAACAGAACCUUUUUACUGUAGCACCAUGAAAUCACAGUAAGGACAACAGGGAAGAUUUGGACAUAUUAUUUUCGUUUAAGAAUAAGAUCUCCCCAACUGAAUCAGAGAAGUUAAAACACUAUGAAUUUCUAACCCAGAAAAUAUAAGCUGUAAAUUUAAAACAACAUAAGCAAAUACAGCUUUCAAUUCAUUUCAGUAAAAAACACUGCCAAAUCUCAAUUAUAGGCAGAUCUUCACUGCUUGUGAAGAGAGGUACUGUGGCCUAGCUGUAGAUGUCCAAAACGAAACUGCUUAGGUCCUGCUAAUGGACCAUUCAGCCCAUAUUGCUAUGGAAUAUGGCACUCACUGGUGAUGUUUCUGCCUCCAUCAACUGUAGAGUUGAAUUGGACGAUUUAACUUAACAGAAAUCAUAUCAAGCAAUAUGAACUCCAACUCCACCAAUCUUUUCCUUUAAAAAUGCAGUUUCUCUAUCACAUCGUUUCACAAGGAUCCUUUUUUUCUAUUCUUUAUCAGAAGAACAUAAAGUUCAUAGCCUCAUGGUUAUGAAAAAAAGCCUUGAAAACAUGACCAAAAGUCAAUUAGCCAGCACAGAAUGAAGAAAGCAUAAAGGAAUGCAAAGAAAUAAUUCAAAUAAGAGCGCGUAAUUCUAAGCUCAUACUAUGACUUCUGGCAUUAAAAUCCAAAUACCUGGAAUGCUAAAUCUUAUUUCAAAUCCAUUAUUGCUAAUAAUGUCAAAACUGUGCAAGGCAGGUGAAGAAUAGCCUUGAGUAUGACAGCACAGGUUAAAAAGUGUUGAGCAGGACAACAGGAAAUGGGUAUUUUCAGUAGUUCACAGAAAGAACUAAAAGGUUUUCUCUCCCUACAGUAGCAUGAGAUUCUCUAAAAACUUCAAGAGAGUGCAAAAUAAUUUUUAAAUUAGUAUGGGUGUGUGUGGUGUAAAGACUUCCUUCUGGUCCUUUCUUUUCCAUGAUGCACCUGGAGGAAGGGAGGAAAAAUAGAGUAAAAAUCCUAUUCCUACGAACCAGUGUUCUUCCACCCAGAACUUGCUGCAGAGCCCAGUUAGACUGUUGGUGGAACAACCACUCUACAAAGAACUACUUCUGCUACAUAACAGUGCACCAUACAGAAUUUGUCCUUAUCCACAAUGUUAGGCAGAAUUGUGAUGGUUUCCAUGUAAGUUUGAUGUGAGAGGACAUUGGGACUCAUCGUAUUUGCAUGAAUUUGAUCACGUUACCUUCACACCUAAUGCUAGAUAUUUAGUAUGUAAGAAUAAAACAGCAGCCUCUUUCUUCUACGGUCAGACUAUGGUGGUCAGUGUGGUUAAUGACCUCAAACACAAAGCACCAUUAAAUCUUCCACCAAUAGAAAAGGCAUAAUGAGAAAGAUAACCUCCAGAAGGGCUCACUUACAGAUACUUACACCAAAUAUAUCUUUUACAUACAUACGUAUACACACACCACAUAUAUUACAGGAUGUUAUAGACUGUAUUUUUAUUUUAUAUAUAUACACACACCCCCUUUGAAUUCCUGAAAAUUCUCACACAAAAAGAUUAUUUCAGAAAAGAUAUUUCAUAAAAACACUUCAGUUUUACGUCAGUGUUUCUCCUUCCAUAUAAAAAGAUGUGACUGAAUUUUUUUAAUGGGAAAGGUUUGUUGACACCAGUAUAUACCCACUUUUGACUGUUGGACACCUUUCAUUCACUUACCACCCCAAAGAAUUAAUCAUGGAGAACAGAGUAUGGGAGUCAUAUAUGUCAGCAGAAAGUCAUGAAAUUCUAAUUCAGUUUUGAUGUUCCAAUGUUAAUUCGCAUCACUGUGUGCACCGUGGUGUUGAGGGGAUUACGGGGGGGAGGCCAGAAAUUUUAGUUCCCUAGCUAUCUUUAACUUAACCAAGCUCUGUACCAGUUCCAAAGACAACAAAAUUGCACUUGCUCUGCGCUGUGACUGACAUUGCCUCGAUAUGUCAUUAAAAAUUAGCUCUAU